UACAGAGGGGGCAAGCGUUGUUCGGAAUUACUGGGCGUAAAGGGCGCGUAGGCGGCCGCCUAAGUCAGACGUGAAAUCCCUCGGCUUAACCGGGGAACUGCGUCUGAUACUGGAUGGCUUGAGAUUGGGAGAGGGGUGCGGAAUUCCAGGUGUAGCGGUGAAAUGCGUAGAUAUCUGGAGGAACACCGGUGGCGAAGGCGACAUCCUGGACCAACACUGACGCUGAGGAGCGAAAGCCAGGGGAGCAAACGGG
rnacentral:rRNA from 1 species